ensembl:lncRNA
UUCACAACCUUCUAAUAUUGCUCCUUCCUGAUUCUGGCUGGUUUUCUUGCCAGAGAGUCUGUUGGACUUACUUCAGAUUGAUGUCACCUACUAAUUGAGGAAACAUUCCCCGAACCUGAACCCUGAGGCAACAGCAGACAUGACACUUGCAGACCUUUCAGUGUAGCCAAGAAGAAAUUGAAACACCCAGGCUGGAACUUGCUGGAGAAGUGAGUGAGGGAGACUCUCCCAAGAAGCCCCAUGGUGGGGCAAGCAAGCUCAGGGAGCCGGUCAAGUGCAAAAAUUAAGUCACUGAUGUUACCAGUGGCGAUGCUGAAGACAAAAACACAUCUCUGGCUGAUCAGUCAACUCUGCUCCUGACACAGAACAAAUCUUCCAAAGGAUUGUUAAUGAUCUGGCUGAUUUUUCACAAAAGCUAAAAUGGGAUAUGACGUUUUAUCUUAUGACUCAUUAGAAGCAGUUACCUGGUGUGCUGUGUUGAAAUGAAUUCUGAAGCUGUAACCAACACUGCAGGAGUGAUUGUGACAAUCUAUGAGCAACGUCUGUCAUAGGUACGGUCAAGAAAUGAUUUGCUCUCAACUCACUAGAAUGUAAACUCCAUGAGAGAAGGGACCCGACCUGCUUUUGUCCACUGCCAUACAUCUCUGGUACACGGUAGGUACUUAGUUAGCAUUUAAUGGAUAAAUGAUUGAUUUAAUGAAUAAAGUCUAGAUAAGCCUUUAUUUAUGUACAUACAAUUUAUGUUAAAUAAAUAUAUGCCUAUAUAUAAAUAUUAUAUAUUACACAUCACACACACAUACAUCAUGGUAGUUAAUCACUAGAACUUAGCUCAAAAAUUUAAACCACAUGUUCAAAACAGGUAGAUAAUUAUGUGAAAAUAAAAACUAAACUUUGGACAUAAGAUUUAUGAACUUCUAGAACAAAUGGCUAGUAGAAUCACCUUUUGUUGUUAGUUUUUUAACUUUGAGGUCAUCAUAUUUCAUUGGUAACCUCAUUUUCCUAACUGUUCCAAAACUCCUGCCCUCGUAACAGUUUUCACUGUAAAAUCUCAGUAGGAAGAUUGCAGGCAAUAGACAGUGAAGCCAGAUAGGAGGACACUCGUCUCAGUUGUACUGAGUCUGAAGGAUGCUUAUAGCUGUAAUGUGCCCCCACUAAAGUCCCCGCUUCUCCAGGGAGGGCUGGGUACCUUAGGGUGUCUCCCGCCUGGCCAGCUGUGAAGGCCUGCAGCUCGGGAAGGUGAGUUCAGAGUCUGCCUACCCCGCCACCUUGACGAGAUCCCUCAGAAGGAAGACUGAACAAAGAACAAUUCGGGACGAGAAAGAAGUCCAGCAGGAAGAACUGAGCACGGCGUCUUGCUUCUCCUGUGGCCCCUCUCUGUGGAAGAACACCUCUAUCCACCAAGACCCCUAAACUGGGAAACCAAGAGUCCUGCUGCGAGGUCCCUCUCACUCGCUUGGCCCGCGUUCAGACCCUUACCAAAACUUGGUGAUUUCACAGUGCUUUCCAAAUUACGCCCAGCGGGGUGAGUCGGAGACGGAGGGCAGGGGCUCCACUUCCAAAAAAAAACAGCACUGCCACGGUUCCAAGUAAAAUUGCAAGAUUUUGUUUGAUAAAAAGAAUUCCACCGUGGGAGCAAAUUUUUGGAACCUUUAACACUUCUCUUUUGUGUCCGUCACCUCUUCUCCAUCCUCCCGCCUUUGUCGUCGGUCAGUCCUUCAUCAUGUGCAACUUGGAUUAUGACAAAGGCCCACGUGCUGAUGCCCUGCCUAUGGUCUUCCUCCUUCCUGCUCCUGCUCCAUUCUUUUACCAGAAAAUCAUUCAUUUUCUUCCCUCCUCAAAUUGCUUCAAUGGUUCCUUUUUGAAGCCGUAUAAAACACUAAGUACCUUUGCAUAGAAACCAAAACCUCUAUAAUCUUGUUUACCUGUCCAGUUCUUCUCCCCCAACUCACCCCUUCCCCUAUCACUGCUACCACAAUGCUAUCAUAAUAUUAUUCUCUGUAUAAUGUUGUUCUAGGACAACAUGGAACCCUUGUCUCUGUGCCUUUGUGCUUUCUGAUCCCUCUGAUUGGAAAGCCUUUCUUCUUUGUAUGUCCUGACUCCUCUUUAAAAUUUAACUCAAGCACCGCCAUCGCUGGGGAACCUUUUUUAACAACCUAAGAUGACCAAGACAUGACUACACUUUGGGAACCACAUGGCAAAAUAUCUUUUUUUAGAAACCCCAAGUUCUCAUCUUUCUAUUGUUUAAAAGCCAUUUAUUUUUACUUAAGCGUCUCAAUGUAUCUAUUUUAUGACGUUCAGCUUUGAGGAAAAUAUAAGGAUGAUAGAAAUCUGUGUCUUCAGGAAUUUACGGUCAAAUUGUGGAGCUAAUUUAUGAAAUCUAUCAGGCCUUUCCAGAGGGGAUAUAUAUAUCUUUGUCACCAACCCACAAAUUCAGGAAGACCCUUAAUAUUGAAGGCUGGGCGACUGGCCAGUCUGACUCACUUACCAACUGACUCACUCCCUUGUGUAAGGUACUUUGUGAUGGAAUAUAUGUGUGAUCUCAUUUAAUUAUCAUGAUUAUUACAUAAG